rnacentral:rRNA from 1 species
GAUGAACGCUGGCGGCGUGCCUAAUACAUGCAAGUCGAGCGAACAGACGAGGAGCUUGCUCCUCUGACGUUAGCGGCGGACGGGUGAGUAACACGUGGAUAACCUACCUAUAAGACUGGGAUAACUUCGGGAAACCGGAGCUAAUACCGGAUAAUAUAUUGAACCGCAUGGUUCAAUAGUGAAAGACGGUUUUGCUGUCACUUAUAGAUGGAUCCGCGCCGCAUUAGCUAGUUGGUAAGGUAACGGCUUACCAAGGCAACGAUGCGUAGCCGACCUGAGAGGGUGAUCGCCCACACUGGAACUGAGACACGGUCCAGACUCCUACGGGAGGCAGCAGUAGGGAAUCUUCCGCAAUGGGCGAAAGCCUGACGGAGCAACGCCGCGUGAGUGAUGAAGGUCUUCGGAUCGUAAAACUCGGUUAUUAGGGAAGAACAAAUGUGUAAGUAACUAUGCACGUCUUGACGGUACCUAAUCAGAAAGCCACGGCUAACUACGUG